rnacentral:rRNA from 1 species
UAACACCUGGAAACAGAUGCUAAUACCGGAUAACAACAGAUGAUGCCUAUCAACUGUUUAAAAGAUGGUUCUGCUAUCACUCUUGGAUGGACCUGCGGUGCAUUAGCUAGUUGGUAGGGUAACGGCCUACCAAGGCGAUGAUGCAUAGCCGAGUUGAGAGACUGAUCGGCCACAUUGGGACUGAGACACGGCCCAAACUCCUACGGGAGGCAGCAGA